AUCCUAGCCCUGCAGAACUGCAGCAGCAGUAUCACAGGUUUGACUGAAGUGAUGACGUAAUGUUGUACUACAAAAGACUUGAAUAAUUAAAAAUGACUCCAUUAAAUGAAAUAUGGUACACCAUUGGUAUAAUAAAAGAACACUUUGAACUCAUUCCAUAGUCCAUUACAGUCUAAGCUUCUUGCCAAUUAUUAUAAUUUGAUACAUGUCCAUUGGUUAACUGUUCUUUUACAGUCCAUUAGAUAUUGUCGCACAAAUUAAAUUCCAAUUUACAUCUGAUUUUGGUUUUGGGUUUUGAAUGCACUUAUUGGUAUACUAAUUUACAUGUAAUCACAUUGGGAUACUAUGAUUAUUUCAGCGAGUUGCAUUAAUCGUACUUAAGUUGAAUUCAAUAUCCAUUAUAUUCUAAUUAAUGUGACUGUAUACUCUCUAACUAUUUAUGCAGACUGCUCAAAAUACCAUUAGUAAUGCAUGCUACCUAUUUCAGUUUGCACUUCAGCUUAGGUUUAAACUUAUUCCAAUACUCUUAGAAAUUCAUUACCUCUUAACAGGCAAAUGGGAGCUCCAUCAAUUUGCUGACAGGAUCUAAUUCGGAAGGCUGCUUUCCCUUGACGUUUUCCCUCUCCGGCGAGGCUUCCGGCAUCACUGCUGCCCUGCAGCCUAGUUCGGUCACCAAUUCAGAUUCCUCUACCAAAAUGUAUUUAUAGAACUCCAUGGAUGGCAGAUAUGAAUGUAUCCUAUUAAUGAUAACCCAUCGGUAUCUUCAAUAAUAUCUGCAUUGAUACA